UCCUUAGAUGUUCUGGGCCGCACGCGCGCUACACUGACGGAUUCAACGAGCUUACAACCUUGGCCGAAAGGUCUGGGUAAUCUCCAAAAUCCGUCGUGAUGGGGAUAGAUUAUUGCAAUUAUUAAUCUUCAACGAGGAAUGCCUAGUAAGCGCAAGUCAUCAGCUUGCGUUGAUUACGUCCCUGCCCUUUGUACACACCGCCCGUCGCUCCUACCGAUUGAAUGGUCCGGUGAAGCGUUUGGACUAUGGUUUUCUGAUGGUCCGCCGUUGGAUUACCGUGGGAAGUUCGUUAAACCUUAUCAUUUAGAGGAAGGAGAAGUCGUAACA
rnacentral:rRNA from 1 species